rnacentral:rRNA from 1 species
AAGAUUUCGGUUUUUAUCUUAGUGGCGCACGGGUGAGUAACACGUGAAUAACCUGACCCAAAGAGGGGGAUAACACCUGGAAACAGGUGCUAAUACCGCAUAAGACCACAAUGUCGCAUGACGAAGGGGUCAAAGAAAAUCGCUUUGGGAGGGGUUCGCGUCCCAUUAGGUAGUAGGCGGGGUAACGGCCCACCUAGCCGACGAUGGGUAGCCGAGCUGAGAGGCUGAUCGGCCACACUGGAACUGAGACACGGUCCAGACUCCUACGGGAGGCAGCAGUGGGGAAUAUUGGGCAAUGGGCGCAAGCCUGACCCAGCAACGCCGCGUGAGGGAAGAAGGUUUUCGGAUUGUAAACCUCUGUCGCAGAAGACGAAGGAAGUGACGGUAUUCUGUGAGGAAGCCCCGGCUAACUACGUGCCAGCAGCCGCGGUAAUACGUAGGGGGCGAGCGUUGUCCGGAAUUACUGGGCGUAAAGGGAGCGUAGGCGGUCUGAUAAGUUGGAUGUGAAAUACCCGGGCUUAACUUGGGGG